UUACGGCUAUAUCACAUUGAAACAUCGGUUCUCGUACGAUCAUCGAAGUUAAGCAACGUCCAGCCUGGUUAAUACCAAGAAAGAUGACCGCUUGGAAAUACCAGGUGUAG